rnacentral:rRNA from 1 species
GAUGAACGCUGGCGGCGUGCCUAAUACAUGCAAGUCGAGCGAACGGACGAGAAGCUUGCUUCUCUGAUGUUAGCGGCGGACGGGUGAGUAACACGUGGAUAACCUACCUAUAAGACUGGGAUAACUUCGGGAAACCGUAGCUAAUACCGGAUAAUAUUUUGAACCGCAUGGUUCAAAAGUGAAAGACGGUCUUGCUGUCACUUAUAGAUGGAUCCGCGCUGCAUUAGCUAGUUGGUAAGGUAACGGCUUACCAAGGCAACGAUGCAUAGCCGACCUGAGAGGGGGAUAGGCGAGAGUGGAAGUUCGACACGGUCCAGACUGCGACGGGAGGAAGCAGGCGGGAAGAUUGGAGAAUGGGCGCAAGUCGUAUACAGCGAUAAUGGGUGAGUGAAGAAGGUCUGCGGAGUGGAAAGCCCGUUUGUUGGGAAAGAAAAGAAGCAGACGAAUAACUACGGGCCCUGACGGUAACGAAAGAAUAAGCGACGGCUAACCUCGUG